GGGGCUUUGCAGACUUUGCAAAGUGCCUACAUACUUUAAGUGGCCUGAAAUUUAUACUUGUGCUUUGGUGUGUGCGUCAAUCUCUUUAAGAAAAUAGCAGGCCCGGCAUCGGUGUGU